CAGUAGCCACGGUAAUACGGAGGGCGCGAGCGUUACCCGGAUUUACUGGGCGUAAAGGGCGUGUAGGCGGCCUGGGGCGUCCCAUGUGAAAGGCCACGGCUCAACCGUGGAGGAGCGUGGGAUACGCUCAGGCUAGAGGGUGGGAGAGGGUGGCGGAAUUCCCGGAGUAGCGGUAAAAUGCGCAGAUACCGGGAGGAACGCCGAUGGCGAAGGCAGCCACCUGGUCCACUUCUGACGCUGAGGCGCGAAAGCGUGGGGAGCAAACCGGAUUAGAUACCCCCGUAGUCCCUGUCUCUUAUAC
rnacentral:rRNA from 1 species